GUAUUCCCUUUGCUAAACAUAAUUUAAAAAAGGAACAACACAGAAAAAGAUUAGCAUGAUCUGUACAGAAGUAUGACAGACAAAUUCACAAAAUCUUCCACAUUAUU